rnacentral:rRNA from 1 species
UACGAAGGGUGCAAGCGUUACUCGGAAUUACUGGGCGUAAAGCGUGCGUAGGUGGUUGUUUAAGUCUGUUGUGAAAGCCCUGGGCUCAACCCAGGAAGUGCACUCGAAACUGUCAGGCUUGAAUAUGGAAGAGGGUCGCGGAAUUCCCGGUGUAGAGGUGAAAUUCGUAGAUAUCGGGAGGAACACCAGUGGCGAAGGCGGCGACCUGGGCCAAAUAUCGGACGCUGAGGUGCGAAAGCGUGGGGAGCAA